rnacentral:lncRNA from 1 species
CGGUGGAACACAACGCUGACUCCUCCACCACCGCCUCUGUCGUCGCAGACUCUCAGAGAUCCAUUCCCACGCCGUUUCUCACCAAAACCUUUCAACUCGUCGACGACCAAUCCAUCGACGAUGUUAUCUCCUGGAACGACGACGGAUCAACGUUCAUCGUGUGGAACCCUACCGUCUUUGCCAGAGACUUGCUUCCUAAAUAUUUUAAACACAACAAUUUCUCCAGCUUCGUUCGCCAGCUCAACACUUACGUAAUUCAUUUUAACUCAAUCACUCAACACAGCGCUAUAUUUUCCAAUUUCUUGUUCCUGCUUUUUAUUUUGUUUUCCUAAUUUUCUUAUUCGUUUUUGUUUUUGCCUGAUUUGCAGGGAUUCAGGAAGGUUGUACCUGAUCGGUGGGAAUUCUCAAACGACUGUUUCCGUCGAGGCGAGAAGCAGCUUCUGAGCGAAAUUCAACGGAGGAAGAUCUCGUUACCGGUGGCUUCGACGUCGCCGUCUACGACGGCUCCGGCAACGGUUUCUGUUCCUUCGUCGAUGC